UGGGGAAUAUUGCACAAUGGGGGAAACCCUGAUGCAGCGACGCCGCGUGAACGAAGAAGGUAUUCGUAUCGUAAAUUUCUGUCCUAUGGGAAGAUAAUGACAGUACCAUAGAAGAAAGCUCCGGCUAAAUACGUGCCAGCAGCCGCGGUAAUACGUAUGGAGCGAGCGUUGUCCGGAAUUAUUGGGCGUAAAGGGUACGCAGGCGGUUUAAUAAGUCGAAUGUUAAAGAUCGGGGCUCAACCCCGUAAAGCAUUGGAAACUGAUAAACUUGAGUAGUGGAGAGGAAAGUGGAAUUCCUAGUGUAGUGGUGAAAUACGUAGAUAUUAGGAGGAAUACCAGUAGCGAAGGCGACUUUCUGGACACAAACUGACGCUGAGGUACGAAAGCGUGGGGAGCAAACAGG
rnacentral:rRNA from 1 species